rnacentral:lncRNA from 1 species
GCAAAUUAAUUGAAAGGAAAAAAAUAUAUUAUACAAUGCUAUAAACGAAGAAGAAUUUGAGAAAAUAUCAAGUUGUGACAUAGCUAAAGAAAUGUGGGAUAAACUUGAAUUUACCUAUUAAGGUACAAGUAAAGUAAAAGACACAAGGAUAACUCGUCUGAUUAGUGAUUAUGAGUAGUUUCAAAUGAAAGAAGAUGAAACCAUUGAAGACAUGUUUGGCCGAUUUAGCAAAAUACUGGAGAUCUAAAAUCCUUUGGAAGACCAUAUUCAAGAACUGAAUAAACCAAAAAGAUUCUAAGAAGUUUACCC